AGGAGGAACAACCCCAGUGGCGGCGGCCAGCUCUGUAGCCCUGGAUUCAGCUCCCACAGUAACUCCGGAGCUCUCUGUCUGCAGGGCCUGGAUGCUCCAGGGCGGG
rnacentral:pre_miRNA from 1 species